rnacentral:sRNA from 1 species
CUAUGAUCAGAUCUCCACAUUAGCCGGCAAAAACCGCAUAGGGGCCAAGCGAAUCCAGAAGGGUACUAACCUAAACACUAACCACCUAACUAACCUAGAGAUUACCCUAAUCUAAACCAUCCUCAAGAACCCUAAUCACUACUCAAGCAACAUUCUCAAGAACACAAACCCAGAAAUUACUGAAAUCAAAUCAAAAUGUAGAUCUAAACAAGCUAAACAACUUUACUAAAACAACUAAAUGCAAAAACAAAA